GAAAAUAAAAUAAUAUAUAUAUUGCAAAUGUUUAAGUUGAUAAAUUUACAUAUGCAGUGUGCUGAUUCAAAUUUGUUUACUGUAUACUUGUCUAAACCACCAUUCCAUAUUCCCAUCCCAACUGUACAGUACAAUAAGAAGACGCAAGCUCAGCAAGCUACAUGAAAAACAGGUUUACUACUGGUGGUCUAAGCUUAAUGAUUGGCUGCGUCUUCCUUCAAGUAUUCUCCCAAGGAGCGAGUGCUGAAUGAUGUGUCAUCAAGUAAUGCAACACCUAAAUGAGACUCCACGCUUGAGUCUGGAUAAACUUCAUCAUCAUUACUGACUUGGUUUUCUGAAUCAUUUUCUUCUUCAGUUUUAGUGUUACCAUCUCUCUCCCCUCUUAAGAUCUUCAGUAUCUGGAAUUCAAGUAAAUUUCACUUCAAUUAUAUUAUCCAAAGAAAAUGAACAUGCACGAGGCGAGGCAUUCAGGAAUCAAGCCACAAACUGUUUUUACCUGGCUCAUUUUUGGUCGAAGCCUAGCUGCUCGUGUUAGACAGAGUAUUGCAGCAAGCACCAUCCUUUGCAUUUGAUCCGCGUCUACAUUAUUAUCCAAAUUUGGGUCCAAAAUGCUUAUUACUUCUCCACUCUCUAUUUUUGGCAUUGCCUGAUGUUAACGUCAAGAUCUUCUGCCACGUCCCAAUCACGUAAGACGCCCUGAUCCUGCACAGUAAACACGGUAAACACCACAAGCUUGACGGCUGUUUCGUCGGGGGAUAGCUCAGGCGUGAGAGUCAGUAUACGUGUUCACAAGGUUAACAAUGGAGGAAUGUAAUGUCUAGUGUCUAGAGAGAGAUCAUAAUUCCCUGUUGUGUGUAUGUGAGAAUAUAAAUAUGAAAGUGCAAAUCGAACACCUGCUAACACUGCUUCGUACUCGGCUUCGUUUUAAACCCGAAUCUGAUGGCCUGCUGAACUUUGAACCCCUCUGAACUCGUCAAGAUAAUUCCUGCCCCACUAACAGUUACCGUAGAGGAUCCAUCUGCAUAUAACGUUCAAGCACUCUGACCCUGUUGAAGAACUGCAACUGCUCGGUCAGACGAUUCAACUUCUGACAACUCGGCAUCUGCUUCGGUAAAUGAGCAUUCCACCAUAAAAUCGGCCAACGCCUGACCCUUGAUAACGGUUCGGGGAUGGUAUUCGAUAAAAAAUUGGGAUAGCUCCAUAAUCCAUGCUGCUAGUCUCCCUGAAACUUCUGGCUUGCCCAUCACCUUCUUCAAUGGUUGAUCCGUGUAGACGACCAGGAGUCUACCUUGAAAAUAUUACCGAAGCUUUCUACUAGCAAUUAUUAAAGCAAAGGCAAAUUUCUCAAUAUUCGGGUACCUGGUUUCAGCAUCUCGUAAGACGUGACUGACAUAAUAGACCAGAUGUUGCUUUCCGUUGACCUCCCGAACCAGCACUGCUCUGACUGCCAACGAACUUGCUGCAAGGUAUAGACAUAAAGUCUCUGCUGGGGCAGGCUUCACCAAUAAAGGAGCAGAAGAAAGAUAUGUCUUUAUGCCUUGGAAGGCGUCUUCACAUUCCGAAGUCCACUGAAACGUCUUCGCAUUCUUCGGCCCUUUCAAUGUGUCAAAGAAAGGAAGGCAUCUCUACGCAGAUUUGGCGACGAACCUCUUUAAAGCUGCAAUCCUACCAGUCAGACGUUGGACGUCUUUGAACGACUAAGGAGUCUUCAUAUCAAGAAUGGCUUGGAUCUUCUCCGGAUUGGCCUCGAUGCCCCUCUGACUGACCAGAUAUCCCAAAAACUUUCCUGCACCGAGGCCGAAAGUACAUUUGGCCAGGUACGAUGACGGACAAUCUAAAAGCAUUCCUCCAGAUCGUCCAAAUGCUUCUGAACCUGCAUGCUCUUCACGAUCAUAUCGUCUACAUAUACUUCCAUGUUCCUCCCUAGCUGCCUGUCGAAGAUGAAGUUCAUCAUUCUCUGGUAGGUGGCUCUCGCGUUUAUAAGGCCAAAAGUCAUCUUCUUGUAGGCGUACACCGAACGGUGUGUAAUGAACGCUGUCUUUGGAAUGUCCUCCUUACGCAUGGAUAUUUGAUGAUAACCUGAGAAAACAUCCAUAAAGCUUAGUAAUGAAUGCCCCGAAGUGGCAUCGAUGAGCUGAUUGAUAUGGGGCAAAGGAUAAAAGUCCUUAAGACAAGCUUUUAUUGAGAUCGGUGUAGUCGAUGCAAACCCGCCAUUUUCCAUUCUGCUUCUGCACCAACACCACAUUCGUCACCCACUCAGGAUAAUCAAUUUCAUAGAUGAAGUCGACAGCUAACAGCUUUGCAAUUUCCUCAUCAAUGAUCUUCUGUCGCUCGGGCGCAAAGAUCCGCCUUUUCUGCCAAACUGGCUUCUUCGAGGGAUCUACAUCCAGACUGUGCUCAGCUAUCUUCCGGCUAACUCCAGGCAUGUCAUGUGGUUCCCAUGCAAAGAUAUCCGCAUAGCAGCGUAAGAGUUCCAUAAGGUUUGUCCGAAGAGGCUCUGGUAGACCUGAACCGAUCUUCACAAUCUUGUCUGGCUUUCCUAUGAUCAACUCGAUCUCCUCCGUCCCACCUACAGGGAUCACCAACGGUUCCAAACUACUCUCGGUGAAGGGCUCGAUCUCAAUCGUCAUCGUCUGUUUCUGCUUGCUGACCCCCACUCCGGAGGAAAUAACAGCAUUCCGAUAACAUCUUCGGGCCAGAUCUAAGUCCCGCCACCUCUCCUACUUCAUGCAUCGUGGGGAAUUUGAUUUUGAAAUGAGGGAUGGAGGUCACAGCUUGGAGAGCAGUCAAGGUAGGUCUCCCCAGUAUAGCGUUAUAAGCCGAGUCCACAUGCACAACAUAGAAUUUACACAUUAUUUCUACCUGCUGGGGUGCUGUGCCGAAGAUAACCGGGAGUUCAAUAGUGCCUGCAACUUUGACCGGAUCGUUGCUGAAGCCGUAUAAAGGAGCCUCCUGCCCGACCUCCAUUUUCUGCUCAUCAAGAUGCAUCCUCUGAUAGGCAUGGGCAUAUAAAAUAUCCACCGAAGACCCAUUGUCUAUCAUCAUGCGUUUCACGUCCACCGAGCCCACUUGCGCUGUGAUCACCAAGGCUCCCUCGUGUGGCUCGAUGGGCUCCGAAGGAUAAUCUGCGUCCGUAAAUGAUAUGACGGUUCCUGGGAAUGGUCUGUCAAUCUUCAGGGGAGCAUCUGUCACAGACAUGACCGAAUCCAGGUAAGCCCUUCUCUUCUUCCCUAUCAACUUCCCUACAGAUCCACCGGUUAUUACAUCGAUGACAUGCCUUGGCGGCGGUACUGGAGCAUUUUGGAUGGAUGGAGCCAUUUGAACCGUCUGAACAGUACGGUUGAUAUUCUGCUGAUCACGUUGGUCGUUCGCGGCCACAUACUGCACCAACAAGCCAUCUUUAAUCUUCUUCUCCACGAAAUCUUUUAAAUUGCAACACUCGUUAGUGUCAUGGCCCGCGGCUUGAUGAUAGCCACAAUACUUACGAGAGUUACCCUGUCCCGUUCUAUAAUUAUCACGAGGUGGCUCGAAGAAAGGCUGGUUUCUGAUCUGAUCUAAGAUCACUGAUCUAUCUGUGUUCAGUUUGGUGUAGACCUUAUUCACCUUCGGGGCUGAAACAGGGGGACGACUGCUUCCUUGCCGCCAGGAGUUAUUGUACUUCUUCGAACUGCCCUCUGGCCGAUCAUUAUACCCCCCGUUCUCCUUUGAUCAACUUCGGCCUUGGGAACUACUAUCUCCUUCAACUGGUCCGAAGAAGGAUGCUUCAGGCUGUUCAUAGCUUCUUCCACAACAAUAUAGCCUUCUGCCUUGUCAAAGGCUUCGGCCAAGCUCUUCGGAUGGUGGAACAUCAACUUCUUCACCAACUUCUCGGACUUUACCAGAUCCAGCCCAUUCUGGAACAAACCUACAGCCUGGAGGUCAUUGAGGUCGGACACCUGACCGACUGCUUCUCUGAACCUCUUUACAUACUGGCCCAAAGAUUCGCUGGUAAACUGCCGGAUCUGUGCCAGAGAACCCGUAGGCUUUCCUCUUCUUCGGUUACUCCCAAAACGGGCAUGGAACUUAUCACAAAGCUCGGUCCAAGAGGAUAUCGAAUCUGACGGCAAAGUUCCCAUCCACUGCCUCGCAUCUUUUCUCAGCGUCGUAACAAAAGUGUGGCACUUGGCAGCAUCAGUGAAAUCAUAAUAGUCCAUUAACCGGUCGAACGUCUGGCUAUGGUCAUAAGGAUCCCCGGACCCAUCGUAACUUUCCAUGCGAGGCAAUUUUUUGGUGAUAUCUGCCUUCUCCUUGAGAAUAUCUGAGGAAAAAGGGGAUGCCUUCUUUCCCGGAGCGUCCUUCACCUGUUGGACCUCAGCCAGCUGCUUUCUGAGCUCUUUCAGCUCCUUCACCAGAAAAUCAACGCCUUCGGGCUGUGGGGAGACCUCUUUCUCGUGGACAACAUUCUGUUUCUGAGAGGAUCGACCUCUUCCUGCCGAUCCCACUGCCCUGGUGGGACUUCUUGAUCUACUCCGGUGUACAACUCUGUCCUUAUGAUGAGAAUGGUCACGUUGAUAGUACCUUACUCUGAUUUCGGGCAUGAUCUCCCUCGACCUGCUCCUUUGUCUGUCGUCGUCUCGAUGCUGAGAGGCAACGACCAUUAGUGCCUUCUUCGAGGCCACGGGAGUUCUGCUCCUCGAUCUCCUCCUACUACGAGAACAAUCCCUAGAUACAUGCGCGGAAUGCUCCGGCUUCUUACCCUAUCGCCGUGGCAUCUCCUUAUGCCCACUCCGCCUUUCGGACUGAACAUGGCUAGAUGUUUCGUCCCUUAAUUCCGCCACCCGAAACAUCUGUUCGGCUAUAUCUUCUCUCUGCUUCAACAGAACCUCCAAGGCUUUAUCUGCUUCGUCCGCCAUCUUCGCCAACUUGGCGACUCUAUCUUCCUGACCACUUCUACGAUAAGUCUUGGUCGGUGAGCCUUCCGCCUGCCCUUGACCAUGAUCACGCUCCUUAUCCGCACCGAGAACCAAUCUUCGUCUGGCCCCAUCAUGGAUCUUCGGACGGAGAUCUCCUGAAUGAUGCUUAGAGGCCGUGCUCUCGUGAGCACUUUUAGAAGGACCCAGACGAUCCUUUACCGAAACACGAGGCAGUGACGAGCUAACAGCCAUCGCCUGCCCUUCUGGCGUACCAUCCCUACUCCUCAUCAUCUUCCGAAGUAGGUUAAACGAUUGUGAUUGAAAGUUUCAAUGACACUAGAACUCAAAAGCCCUCCUUCUAGCGCCAAUGUUAACGCCAAGAUCUUCUGCCACGUCCCAAUCACGUAAGACGCCCUGAUCCUGCACAGUAAACACGGUAAACACCACAAGCUUGACGGCUGUUCCGUCGGGGGAUAGCUCAGACGUGAGAGUCAGUAUACGUAUUCACAAGGUUAACAAUGGAGGAAUGUAAUGUCUAGUGUCUAGAGAGAGAUCAUAAUUCCCUGUUGUGUGUAUGUGAGAAUAUAAAUAUGAAAGUGUAUGAGAACGUACCUCUUUGUGAAGACUUCCUUGCUAGGUUAUACUCUCUUUGCCUGGAUUACUGUGCCACCCACUACCAUCUAACACAGCCCCCUAAUCUGAUGGGUUCUGCCGACUGCAUAUAGUCUAUCCACUGCUUUUGGCCACUGUUUUCUACCGCCGACCGGCUAUGAUCCCAUCCACAUUAAUGCAUGGCAGGAGUUUUGGUCAACCGUCAUGCUUUUUCAUCAUUGCAAGUCAAAGCAAUAGAUAUUAAAAUGUCUGAUGGGUCGAUCCACUGAACCGACCCGGUCUUAUAGGUUAAAAAUGGAAAUAAUAUGGUGACUGGGCCCAGUGACUUUCACAGUUCAAUAAUAAAGACCCAAUAGAUUAAUUAAAUGAGUAAGCCCAAUUUACC
rnacentral:lncRNA from 1 species